rnacentral:rRNA from 1 species
GCUGACGAGCGGCGGACGGGUGAGUAACGCGUAGGAAUCUACCCAGUAGCGGGGGAUAAGCCAGAGAAAUUUGGUCUAAUACCGCAUACGCCCUUCGGGGGAAAGCAGGGGAUCUUCGGACCUUGCACUAUUGGAUGAGCCUGCGUGAGAUUAGCUAGUUGGUGAGGUAAGAGCUCACCAAGGCGACGAUCUCUAGCUGGUCUGAGAGGAUGAUCAGCCACACUGGAACUGAGACACGGUCCAGACUCCUACGGGAGGCAGCAGUGGGGAAUAUUGCACAAUGGGCGCAAGCCUGAUGCAGCCAUGCCGCGUGUGUGAAGAAGGCCUUAGGGUUGUAAAGCACUUUCAGUCGUGAGGAAAGGUGUGUAAUUAAUACUUACAUACUGUGACGUUAGCGACAGAAGAAGGACCGGCUAACUCC